UUGACAGCCCUGGAGACUGAAGCCCUCUUUAUGCACAGAAUAGAUACAGCAGAGGCAAAGCUAGCUUCUUCACACUUCUGGGUCAAUGUACCUCAGACCUGAACUAACAGGAGUGCUUCUCUGUGGCUAAGAGGCUCCUUCAUUUCUUCACCUGUUGGAUGGCCAGUUAUA
rnacentral:sRNA from 1 species